CUGUAAUCCACCUGCGAAGACACUGCUUAGGUCAGACGAGAGUGCAUCCUCAAAGGUCUGUGUGUGUACCUAAAUGAAGAUCCAGAGAAGCUGGUGAGGGAGUACAUGGACGUUGAUGAAUGCGCAGAAAUGGCCAAAGCCGAGACUGUCCUCGGAAUCGUCAUUUGAGCAGAGGGUGCAGAGGCUGCCGAUGCACAUCUGGAUGUUGGGAUUGUCCUGGAGGAGGUGGAAGUUAUGAACAGCUUGGGCAGUGUAUCUUCUGCAAUAGUGAUGCUGCUGGGACUAAUCUAUGCACUAAACUUGAGCUACCCUCAAGUUUAGUGCGUUCAGCACUCAACUUGCUCAGUAACUCAAGCAUACCUUUGAAGUAAUACAGAAAAUAAUAAUGAAAUUGGAUGGAAAGAACUUAUCAAAGAAAGCACAAGUUCUCAAUAUGAAACUCGCUGCUAAGUUGAGCAAAGUUUCAUAUGGAAAAUGAGUGUUUAAAGUCUGCAGUAGAAAAGAUUUAUAUUGUUACAGUUCUCUAAGUUGAGCAACUAUACUGGCAUGUUUUAUGUUGUAAAGAAUUGGCUGGGAAAUGAAACUGUAACCUUUUUGUAGUUGUUUUUUUAUUUCAAUGUCCAACUCAGCUGUGU